ACCGAACGCUGGCGGCAUGCCUAACACAUGCAAGUCGAACGAGACCUUCGGGUCUAGUGGCGCACGGGUGCGUAACGCGUGGGAACCUGCCCUUAGGUUCGGAAUAACUCCCCGAAAGGGGUGCUAAUACCGGAUAAUGUCUUCGGACCAAAGAUUUAUCGCCUUUGGAUGGGCCCGCGUUGGAUUAGCUAGUUGGUAGGGUAAAAGCCUACCAAGGCGACGAUCCAUAGCUGGUCUGAGAGGAUGAUCAGCCACACUGGGACUGAGACACGGCCCAGACUCCUACGGGAGGCAGCAGUAGGGAAUAUUGGACGAUGGGCGAAAGCCUGAUCCAGCAAUGCCGCGUGAGUGAUGAAGGCCUUAGGGUUGUAAAGCUCUUUUACCCGGGAUGAUAAUGACAGUACCGGGAGAAUAAGCUCCGGCUAACUCCGUG
rnacentral:rRNA from 1 species